rnacentral:rRNA from 1 species
GAUGAACGCUGGCGGCGUGCCUAAUACAUGCAAGUCGAGCGAACAGACGAGGAGCUUGCUCCUCGGACGUUAGCGGCGGACGGGUGAGUAACACGUGGAUAACCUACCUAUAAGACUGGGAUAACUUCGGGAAACCGGAGCUAAUACCGGAUAAUAUAUUGAACCGCAUGGUUCAAUAGUGAAAGACGGUUUUGCUGUCACGUAUAGAUGGAUCCGCGCCGCAUUAGCUAGUUGUUAAGGUAACGGCUUACCAAGGCAACGAUGCGUAGCCGACCUGAGAGGGUGAUCGGCCACACUGGAACUGAGACACGGUCCAGACUCCUACGGGAGGCAGCAGUAGGGAAUCUUCCGCAAUGGGCGAAAGCCUGACGGAGCAACGCCGCGUGAGUGAUGAAGGUCUUCGGAUCGUAAAACUCUGUUAUUAGGGAAGAACAAAUGUGUAAGUAACUAUGCACGUCUUGACGGUACCUAAUCAGAAAGCCACGGCUAACUACGUG